UACGGAGAGUUUGAUCCUGGCUCAGGACGAACGCUGGCGGCGUGCUUAACACAUGCAAGUCGAGCGAGGCCCUCCUUCGGGGGGUGCCCUAGCGGCGAACGGGUGAGUAACACGUGGGCAACCUGCCCUCAGCUCUGGGAUAACUCCAAGAAAUUGGUGCUAAUACCGGAUGUGACCGCUGACCGCAUGGUCUGGUGGUGGAAAGAUUCAUCGGCUGAGGAUGGGCCCGCGGCCUAUCAGCUUGUUGGUGGGGUAAUGGCCCACCAAGGCGACGACGGGUAGCCGGCCUGAGAGGGUGACCGGCCACACUGGGACUGAGACACGGCCCAGACUCCUACGGGAGGCAGCAGUGGGGAAUAUUGCGCAAUGGGCGAAAGCCUGACGCAGCGACGCCGCGUGAGGGAUGACGGCCUUCGGGUUGUAAACCUCUUUCAGUAGGGACGAAGCGAAAGUGACGGUACCUACAGAAGAAGCACCGGCCAACUACGUGCCAGCAGCCGCGGUAAUACGUAGGGUGCAAGCGUUGUCCGGAAUUAUUGGGCGUAAAGAGCUCGUAGGCGGUCUGUCACGUCGGCUGUGAAAACCCGAGGCUCAACCUCGGGCCUGCAGUCGAUACGGGCAAACUAGAGUACUGCAGGGGAGACUGGAAUUCCUGGUGUAGCGGUGAAAUGCGCAGAUAUCAGGAGGAACACCGGUGGCGAAGGCGGGUCUCUGGGCAGUAACUGACGCUGAGGAGCGAAAGCGUGGGGAGCGAACAGGAUUAGAUACCCUGGUAGUCCACGCCGUAAACGUUGGGCGCUAGAUGUGGGGCUCAUUCCACGAGUUCCGUGUCGCAGCUAACGCAUUAAGCGCCCCGCCUGGGGAGUACGGCCGCAAGGCUAAAACUCAAAGGAAUUGACG
rnacentral:rRNA from 1 species